rnacentral:lncRNA from 10 species
AUUCAAUCUCCUUGUGCCUUGAUUUCCUUAUCAAUAAGUGAUUUGUUUUUAAAGAAGGAUUCACAAGCAAACAUAUCUGGUUUUUUUGUUUGUUUGUUUUUGAGACAGAGUCUCGCUCUGUUGUCCAGGCUGGAGUGCAGUGAUGCGAUCUUGACUCACUGCAACCUCCGCCUCCCAGGAGUUCAAGCGAUCCUCCUGCCUCAGUCUUCCGAGUAGCUGGGACUACAGGCAUGUGCCACCACACCCAGCUACUAUUUUUGUAUUUUUUUGUAGAGAUGGUUUCGCCAUGUUGGCCAGGCUGGUCUUGAACCCUUGACCUCAGGUGAUCCACCAGCCUCGGCCUCACAAAGUGCUGGGAUUACAGGUAUGAGCCACCACGCCCAGCCUGCAAACAUAUGUUGAACUCUUUGCACAGUGCCCUGCAUGAGAUAGAUGACAGCUCCUUCUUCCAUGUUGUUAAUUUGGUGUGAGUAUAUGUUAUAUGUAUGUAUAUGCAAGAUAAUAAUCUUCUUGUAACCACUGACAGGCCUUUUUGUGAAUGAUGAUGGAAAAAGCAAGAACCUUGUCCAGGUUCCUCUCCAGGGAGCAGGGGUGGGUUGUGAUUCUUGAUUUCAUUCCUUUAGAUAUGAAGAGUUUUCACACAGAGGCAGCACGAAUUUGUCUCUCUCCUAGAGGGUGGGGAGAGUUGCUGGGUGGAUAUAACUGCAUCACAGCCUUUCUGGGUAAACUGGCCACUCCCUACUGAUUUGUUAUCAUGCUAAAUGUGUCUCCUCCCUUCCUUUCUGGAGCUUUUGCAGCUGUUCCUGGAAGGAGACCCAGUUGAAAGGGGUUGUUAUGGACCAGGAACAGCUGGGAUCUUUAAUGAUCUGUGAGCAGCUUACAGCAAAGUUCCAACACCCUGAGUAUCAGUCCCCAAAUCCUUGGUCUUUGCAUUCCAACACAAAGUAAAAAGGAUUGAGCAGGGUUUUGGUUUUGGUUGCAAGUAACAGAAACCCAACGCUAAUUAAUAAACGGGAAAGUGUGUCAGUGGAAAUCUCCACAAGUCCGACGGAAAGAGAAAACUGCUUUCCCAAAGGGUGUAAGAGGAUGAAAGGCAUGUCAUCAGCUGAAUUGCAUCAGGUGUCCAUCUUGGAAUCAAUCACGGUGCCUCUUAUUAGCAAAGCCUGAGUCAUAGAGCAGAGCUUUCUCCAGCUGGUAGAAAAAGGGGAAGUAUGAGACUUAAAGGUGGAGGUGGCCCCAUGGAAAAGACCUAAGGGUAGCCUGCGGGAACUGAGAGAAAACCCCAACUGGCAGCCAGCAAGAAAACAGGGACCUUAAUCUUACGACCACAAGGAACUGGACUCUGCUACCAGAAUGAGCUGCAAGGGAGAUUCUUCCUCAGAAGCUUCAGAUAAGAACUCCACCUGGCUGACCUUUGAUUUUGGUUUUGUGAGAACUUUGGCAGAUAACCCAGGCAUGUGUCAUUUCACAUCUGCAUAAAAAGACAUGCUGAAGGAUGUUCCUUGCAGAAUGGUUAUAGAGAAAAAUGGGAAUAACCACGAUAUAAAGUAACAGUCUGCUAUUUUAGGAAGUGGAUAAAAUGGCAUUUUGACAGAUCUGGAGGGUCUUGGAUCUACCUUUCAACAUUGGCAUUACUGAUAUUAGAGUACCACCACUCACUAGCUGUGGAGAUGUAGGAAGAUUACUUAACCACUCAGAGCCUUGGUUUCCUCAUUUGUUAUGUGAAGAUGACAAUAUCAGAUGACAGUGAGAUCUGAGAUGAAUUUAACUGCCUUCAGUAGUGCUGGCCUGCUCCUGAGAGAGAGAUGAUUGAGAGGGAGGAAGUAGAGAGGAGGAAGAAGCCUUUACUCACACUCCUUGAGGAGUGAUUCAGGUGGACAGCCUGAAUUACGGGAUUUAUUGGCAGCAAGUAAGUAUUGUCUGAGUGGAUUACUGCAAAAUGCUUUAGCUGGGGAUGGCUUUGAAAACCACUCAUCAAUUACAGAUGGUACCCAGUAUAGCAGCAGGAGUACCCUUGCGGGCUUUUGUUAUCUCCGACCUCUUCCUUCAUGGGUGACCGUUCUAACCCAAAGACCUCAACUGUUCAUCAAAAACCUGCCACUCAGAACUGCAUAUCAAUUAUUAAACAAUGUCCCAUGCAGGACAGUGACUUUAAAUUAUCUUGGAAAUGAUAAAGACCAACAUUUGUCUUUGUUAACAUGCUGAGUGAUUCUGUGGUCUCUAGUCACAGGUGAAAGGAUCAGAUUUGAGAUUUCUAGACACCAGAAUCACAUUAGGGUUAAGCAAAACUCCAUCUUUUCCCAGAGAAAAUUUAGCCAGAAAUGUUGCUUAUUUGAGAUGAGAAGUAAGAUGAAGUGUUCUAACAUGGCGGAGCUUGAUAUGCAAAUGAGCCCAUCUAGGGACAGUAGGGAUUGGUAAUGUGGGUCUGUGGAUGCCUGGAAGGCUCACAGAAAGACUUCAGGAAUUCCUGAGUCUCUUCAAAGUGUAAGCAAAAUUUUGUGUGUAUUUUCUUAUUUGCAUGAUAUGGCUUGGCUGUGUCCCCACCCAAACCUUAUCUCGAAUUGUAACUCCCACAAUUCCCACAUGUCGUGGAAGGAUCCUGGUGGGAUUCAUUAUGGGGGCAGGUCUUUCCAGUGCUGUUCUCAUGAUAGUGAAUGAGUCUCACAAUAUCUGAUGGUUUUAAAAACAGGAGUUUCUUUGCACAAGCUCUCUUUCUACCGCUGCCUCCAUGUAAGAUGUGACUUGCUCCUCCUUGCCUUCCACCAUGAUUGUGAGGCCUCCCCAUCCACGUGGAACUGCGAGGCCAAUUGAACUCCUUUCUUUUGUAAAUUGUCCAGUCUCAGGUAUGUCUUUAUCAGCAGUGUGAAAAUGGGCUAAUACAGUGCAUUUAUUUUUUUGAAGCAUGUCCAUACUUUCCAUUGGAUUCUCAAAGGGAUUCAGGACCUGGAAACUUUUUGAAAUACUGCUCCAUAGUAAAUGGCACAAAUCUCUCUGAAUCAAGGAUGUCUCUAGCCUUAGGCAAAGCUAGGUUGAAGGACAGAACAGAGAGUCAGCCUCUGGAGUGCCCUCUAUAAGGAAAAAGAAAACAUUACUAGAGUAAGUUGAUAAAGUAUAAAUUCAUCUCACUCCUACUGGACACUGCCCUUGAGUGAAAUUAAAAACUGAAAAAUUUUUGACAUAUCUUUUGAGCAUUUUUGUAAAAUACGCAUGUAGCUAUGGCCAAAAUUCUGGAAUAAAAUGGUACAUAUAGCCUUAGGUAUCCUGGCUCUGUUUCUUAAAGGAGUCAUAUUUACAGAAUUGCAGUUGUCCAGGUGCAGUGGCUCACGCCUGUAAUCCAAACAAUUUGGGAGGCCCAAGCAGGUGGAUCACUUGAAGUCAGGAGUUUGAGACCAGCCUGGUCAACAUGGUGAAACCCCAUCUCUAGUAAAAAUACAAAAAAAAAAUUAGCCGGGCAUGGUGGCGGGCACCAGUAAUCCCAGCUACUGGGGAGGCUGAGGCAGGACAAUUGCUUGAACCUGGGAGGCAGAGGUUGGGAGGUUGCAGUGACCCUAGAUAGCACCAUUGCACUCCAGCCUGGAUGACAGAGCGAGAUUCCAUCUCAAAAAAAAAGAAAGAAAGAAAGAAAGAAUUACAGUUGAUUAGCCACAAAUAAUUUCUAAAAUGUUUUUGCUCACAUCUCUCAUAAAAAUAAAAGAAUAUCCAUGUCCUGUCUUAUUUCUUAUAGCUGCCAGUACACCCCCCAGUUUCCUCUUAUAACUGUUUCAUCCAGAAUCCUUCACAUGGUUACCCUUCACUUUCUCUAUUCCAGUCCAGGUUGCUUAUUUUCUUUUCUCUGGCCUUCUCCCUGUUGCUUUGCUCUUCAUCGUGUAGAUUGAUUUAGUUGUUUUGGCUCAGUCCUUCCUUCUGUCUUCUGUUUCU